rnacentral:rRNA from 1 species
CAGUGAAAUUGAACUCGCUGUGAAGAUGCAGUGUACCCGCGGCAAGACGGAAAGACCCCGUGAACCUUUACUAUAGCUUGACACUGAACAUUGAGCCUUGAUGUGUAGGAUAGGUGGGAGGCUUUGAAGCGUGGACGCCAGUCUGCGUGGAGCCAACCUUGAAAUACCACCCUUUAAUGUUUGAUGUUCUAACGUUGGCCCCUGACCGGGGUUGCGGACAGUGUCUGGUGGGUAGUUUGACUGGGGCGGUCUCCUCCCAAAGCGUAACGGAGGAGCACGAAGGUUAGCUAAUCCUGGUCGGACAUCAGGAGGUUAGUGCAAUGGCAUAAGCUAGCUUGACUGCGAGCGUGACGGCGCGAGCAGGUGCGAAAGCAGGUCAUAGUGAUCCGGUGGUUCUGAAUGGAAGGGCCAUCGCUCAACGGAUAAAAGGUACUCCGGGGAUAACAGGCUGAUACCGCCCAAGAGUUCAUAUCGACGGCGGUGUUUGGCACCUCGAUGUCGGCUCAUCACAUCCUGGGGCUGAAGUAGGUCCCAAGGGUAUGGCUGUUCGCCAUUUAAAGUGGUACGCGAGCUGGGUUUAGAACGUCGUGAGACAGUUCGGUCCCUAUCUGCCGUGGGCGCUGGAGAAUUGAGGGGGGCUGCUCCUAGUACGAGAGGACCGGAGUGGACGCAUCACUGGUGUUCGGGUUGUCAUGCCAAUGGCACUGCCCGGUAGCUAAAUGCGGAAGAGAUAAGUGCUGAAAGCAUCUAAGCACGAAACUUGCCCCGAGAUGAGUUCUCCCUGAGACUUUAAGUCUCCUGAAGGAACGUUGAAGACGACGACGUUGAUAGGCCGGGUGUGUAAGCGCAGCGAUGCGUUGAGCUAACCGGUACUAAUGAACCGUGAGGCUUAACCUU